CUUUUUCCAGAUUGUGGAAAGACGAGGGAACCAAAUGAUCUGGCAAGCCCUUCCUCCACAGUGUCUUCCUCUUACAGUGCCAACAAUACAUAUAAGCAUUUUGAUGAGGGCUCCAAUACCCACAGAGCAUGCUGCAGCAGCGGAAUCGGCCAUACAAAUGGAUCCGCGUUGCACCAGCGCCAUGGCCAGGACAACAACAUAGGAUCGGAUCAGAUUGCUCUAGAAACAAGGUACUGGAUUUCAAUACCUGGAUGCUGCCUCGCUCCUAGCGCUAACUAGCCCCUCGCUUCCAAUGUCCAAUCCGAUGCUACAAAGGCAGUUUAUGUGGUAUUAAAUGUGGCAUGGCAAUGUUAAUUAAAACUUUAUAAAUUGUAAUAACUUGAUAUC
rnacentral:lncRNA from 1 species